rnacentral:lncRNA from 1 species
GGAAAUCAUCGAGAGAAAGAAAAAAAAAGAGAAAAAAUUUAUAACUCGAAGAUUCAAAAAGAAGCACGAAAAAGGGCAUUUGGUGGAAAAAAAGAAAAAAGAAAACCGAGCAAGCAAAAGAAACAAACACAGUAUGUAACAUCGACUCUGAACCAAAAACCCACUUGUUUCCCAUUUUUUUUAAAUAAUCCAUACCCUAACCCAAG